AUAUUGCACAAUGGGCGCAAGCCUGAUGCAGCAACGCCGCGUGCGCGACGAAGGCCUUCGGGUCGUAAAGCGCUUCUCGGGGAGAUGAGCACGGACAGUAUCCCCGGAAGCAGGAUCGGCUAACUACGUGCCAGCAGCCGCGGUAAAACGUAGGAUCCGAGCGUUAUCCGAAUUCACUGGGCGUAAAGCGCAUGCAGGCGGCCGCACAAGUUGGAUGUGAAAUCUCCCGGCUCAACUGGGAGGGGACGUUCAAAACUGUGCGGCUCGAGGGCGGUAGAGGAAGGUAGAAUUCCCGGUGUAGUGGUGAAAUGCGUAGAUAUCGGGAGGAAUACCCGUGGCGAAGGCGACUUACUGGACUGUAACUGACACUGAGGCUCGAAAGCGUGGGGAGCAAACAGG
rnacentral:rRNA from 1 species